rnacentral:lncRNA from 1 species
CUUUUCCUACUGCAGUUUCAUAUGCAAAGCAUGCAUCAGCCACAUCCAUGCUAUCUCCUAAAGCAGUCAUUCUGAAACCCAAUCUGGGGACAGUGCAGACUAAAUAAAAUUUCAUUUUGAUUUGGCCUCCCGCUGCGAAUGGGACUGCUUUGUCUCAGCCGACAGAACCAGCAAGCCAGAAAGGGAAUGAAGACAUUUGGAGAAGAAGCGUUUACUGAAAGGAGAUUCCUGGGCUGGAGGAAAACCAUGAUCUACAGUUCAUGUUGACAGAUAUUGUAUUUUUGGUCCUAGAUCUGACUUUUGAAAUGACUUAUCACAAAUUCAAAUUUAGCAAUCAUGAGUGAAGUACCCACGAUGUGCUAAGCAUCUACCUCUGCAGAUAGAAGAACACUUACUGUUCCUGAGCAUGGGAGGGAAUAGAAGUUCCUGGGUCCUGGCCUCACCUCAUCAGGCACUGCCAAAUUUGACACCUCCUUCCUGUUCACGGCAGUCCUUUGCGAUAGGGUAUUAGAUGCCACCAAGUAGCUGCAUAACUCACCCAUUUGGUCAGAGCCUGGGUCUAAGCCAGGUCUGACAGACUCCAAAGCAAGCCCUGUUUACAGCAUGACUGGGAUCCAGUGGACGAGGGAACUGAGCUGUCAAAACUAAGUGACUUGAUUGAGGCCAUGCAGCUGGCGAGGGGAGGACCAGGAUCUGAACCCAACUGGGUCUCCCAAGCCUGGGCCACUGAACCAUUUCACCUCUUGGAAAAACUUAAUGGUCAGAGUGGCCCACCCAGUCCAUGGACAGCAUGGAGUGGUAUGGUGGAAGAGGAGGGAAGAAAACCUGUGUAUUGUAAGUCAUAUUCUUCUAUGGUGUGAAGGUUAACGUAAGUUUUAAGAAAGUUUUUUUUUUUAAUUUUAUUAUAUGAUCUUGCUCUAAAGGGAUGUAAAUUCAGAUGCUGAAUUGCACACAUCCUUUCUCUUUCAUAUUUUCAAUAUUGAACGUAAUUUCAAUAUUUAACAUAAAACAAUGAGUACAUUGUCUCCACCUCAUUGUUUUUGGGUGGUGUUUGUGAGGAGCCUGCGUUCUUUGGAAGGAAGACCUUUCAGAUGACCUGACCAGUCCUCCUCUUCAGAACCCGGAUGCUGGCGAAGCAGCAUGGACUGACUCAAGGUAUACUGCUCUAAAUCCUACUGUAAGGCUUCCUCAUCAAGUUACCUACCUUCUAAUUGAGUCUCCUCAUCGGCUGAAAUGUUUACUCACAUGGAGUUAAUGACAGUGUCUGCAUUAGAGGAUUUAGUCAAGAUCAAAUUAGAUAUUGCAAUGGAGUGCUGAGGACAACAGCUGGCAUGCUUAAAAUGCUUGCUAAAUGUGUACAAGUGCACAAGUUCUGUUUUAUUAAUAAAAACCAACACCUAUG